rnacentral:rRNA from 1 species
AUUGAACGCUGGCGGCAUGCUUUACACAUGCAAGUCGAACGGCAGCGCGGGCUUCGGCCUGGCGGCGAGUGGCGAACGGGUGAGUAAUACAUCGGAACGUGCCCAGUAGUGGGGGAUAGCUCGGCGAAAGCCGGAUUAAUACCGCAUACGACCUGAGGGUGAAAGCGGGGGAUCUUCGGACCUCGCGCUAUUGGAGCGGCCGAUGGCAGAUUAGCUAGUUGGUGGGGUAAAGGCCUACCAAGGCGACGAUCUGUAGCUGGUCUGAGAGGACGACCAGCCACACUGGGACUGAGACACGGCCCAGACUCCUACGGGAGGCAGCAGUGGGGAAUUUUGGACAAUGGGCGAAAGCCUGAUCCAGCAAUGCCGCGUGUGUGAUGAAGGCCUUCGGGUUGUAAAGCACUUUUGGCGGGAAAGAAAAGGACUGUGCCAAUACCACGGUUCGAUGACGGUACCCGCAGAAUAAGCACCGGCUAACUACGUG